CUGAUCGCCUCUCGCUAUGUUACCUGAACACUCGUGUGCGUACAUUUGGAAAUGUGACGUACAUAUUUUCUGUUAUAUCCGAGGAGAGUUUCGGCGAUGGCGUAUAGACACACAGAUUACAUUACCUUACAUCUUUUAUAUCGAUUAUUAAUGUUUAAUUUAUUUUUCUGACCUUAUAUAUAAUGUGCCUAGACACACCGAUUUUAUUUUAUUUUAUAUUGUUUUGUAAUUUUAAUUCUCGGACUUAUAUAUAAUGCGAACCGUGUAGGAAUUUACGAAUUAAACUAGUACGCUGAAGAUGGCUCCAAAUAGACCCGAAACGUCCGUCCGCUUUACUUGUAACUUAUAUUAACUCUUUGUUAAAAAUAAACUCAUAUUGCCAUUGUUA